rnacentral:misc_RNA from 1 species
CGCACCUUGCGCCACGUGGUAUUCCACGGGGCACGCCUGUUUGAGUGUCACGUAAACCCAUCGCGUCGUGGACUGUCAUGGUCUUCGGGGCGGAUUUGGAUGCUGCCGGAGCUCACGCUUCGGCUCAUCUCGAAAUGCAUUAGCUGUCUGACGACGCGCGCCGCUGGUGUGAUAAUUCCUUUGCGCCUUGGCAAGCAUCUGAAGUAAGCUCAUAAUCGUCCGCGAGGACAAUUUCUUAACGCUCUGGCCUCAAAUCAGGUGGGACUACCCGCUGAACUUAA